GACGAACGCUGGCGGCGUGCCUAAUACAUGCAAGUCGAACGCUUCUUUCCUCCCGAGUGCUUGCACUCAAUUGGAAAGAGGAGUGGCGGACGGGUGAGUAACACGUGGGUAACCUACCCAUCAGAGGGGGAUGACACUUGGAAACAGGUGCUAAUACCGCAUAACAGUUUAUGCCGCAUGGCAUAAGAGUGAAAGGCGCUUUCGGGUGUCGCUGAUGGAUGGACCCGCGGUGCAUUAGCUAGUUGGUGAGGUAACGGCUCACCAAGGCCACGAUGCAUAGCCGACCUGAGAGGGUGAUCGGCCACACUGGGACUGAGACACGGCCCAGACUCCUACGGGAGGCAGCAGUAGGGAAUCUUCGGCAAUGGACGAAAGUCUGACCGAGCAGCGCCGCGUGAGUGAAGAAGGUUUUCGGAUCGUAAAACUCUGUUGUUAGAGAAGAACAAGGACGUUAGUAACUGAACGUCCCCUGACGGUAUCUAACCAGAAAGCCACGGCUAACUACGUG
rnacentral:rRNA from 1 species